rnacentral:rRNA from 1 species
GACGAACGCUGGCGGCGUGCUUAACACAUGCAAGUCGAACGGAAAGGCCCUGCUUUUGUGGGGUGCUCGAGUGGCGAACGGGUGAGUAACACGUGAGUAACCUGCCCUUGACUUUGGGAUAACUUCAGGAAACUGGGGCUAAUACCGGAUAGGAGCUCCUGCUGCAUGGUGGGGGUUGGAAAGUUUCGGCGGUUGGGGAUGGACUCGCGGCUUAUCAGCUUGUUGGUGGGGUAGUUGCUUACCAAGGCUUUGACGGGUAGCCGGCCUGAGAGGGUGACCGGCCACAUUGGGACUGAGAUACGGCCCAGACUCCUACGGGAGGCAGCAGUGGGGAAUAUUGCACAAUGGGCGGAAGCCUGAUGCAGCAACGCCGCGUGCGGGAUGACGGCUUUCGGGUUGUAAACCGCUUUCGCCUGUGACGAAGCGUGAGUGACGGUAAUGGGUAAAGAAGCACCGGCUAACUACGUG